rnacentral:rRNA from 1 species
GGAGAAGGAACUCGGCAAAUUGAUACCGUAACUUCGGGAGAAGGUAUGCCCUCUAAGGUUAAGGACUUGCUCCGUAAGCCCUGGAGGGUCGCAGAGAAUAGGUGGCUGCGACUGUUUAUUAAAAACACAGCACUCUGCUAACACGAAAGUGGACGUAUAGAGUGUGACGCCUGCCCGGUGCUGGAAGGUUAAUUGAAGAUGUGCAAGCAUCGGAUCGAAGCCCCAGUAAACGGCGGCCGUAACUAUAACGGUCCUAAGGUAGCGAAAUUCCUUGUCGGGUAAGUUCCGACCCGCACGAAUGGCGUAACGAUGGCCACACUGUCUCCUCCCGAGACUCAGCGAAGUUGAAGUGGUUGUGAAGAUGCAAUCUACCCGCUGCUAGACGGAAAGACCCCGUGAACCUUUACUGUAGCUUUGCAUUGGACUUUGAAGUCACUUGUGUAGGAUAGGUGGGAGGCUUUGAAGCAGAGACGCCAGUCUCUGUGGAGCCGUCCUUGAAAUACCACCCUGGUGUCUUUGAGGUUCUAACCCAGACCCGUAAUCCGGGUCGGGGACCGUGCAUGGUAGGCAGUUUGACUGGGGCGGUCUCCUCCCAAAGAGUAACGGAGGAGUUCGAAGGUUACCUAGGUCCGGUCGGAAAUCGGACUGAUAGUGCAAUGGCAAAAGGUAGCUUAACUGCGAGACCGACAAGUCGAGCAGGUGCGAAAGCAGGACAUAGUGAUCCGGUGGUUCUGUAUGGAAGGGCCAUCGCUCAACGGAUAAAAGGUACUCCGGGGAUAACAGGCUGAUUCCGCCCAAGAGUUCAUAUCGACGGCGGAGUUUGGCACCUCGAUGUCGGCUCAUCACAUCCUGGGGCUGUAGUCGGUCCCAAGGGUAUGGCUGUUCGCCAUUUAAAGUGGUACGUGAGCUGGGUUUAAAACGUCGUGAGACAGUUUGGUCCCUAUCUGCAGUGGGCGUUGGAAGUUUGACGGGGGCUGCUCCUAGUACGAGAGGACCGGAGUGGACGAACCUCUGGUGUACCGGUUGUAACGCCAGUUGCAUAGCCGGGUAGCUAAGUUCGGAAGAGAUAAGCGCUGAAAGCAUCUAAGCGCGAAACUCGCCUGAAGAUGAGACUUCCCUUGUGGUUUAACCACACUAAAGAGUCGUUCGAGACCAGGACGUUGAUAGGUGGGGUGUGGAAGCGCGGUAACGCGUGAAGCUAACCCAUACUAAUUGCUCGUGAGGCUUGACUCU